rnacentral:rRNA from 1 species
AGAGUUUGAUCCUGGCUCAGGACGAACGCUGGCGGCGUGCUUAACACAUGCAAGUCGAACGGAAAGGCCCCUACCUUUUGGUGGGGGUGCUCGAGUGGCGAACGGGUGAGUAACACGUGGGUGAUCUGCCCUGUACUUCGGGAUAAGCUUGGGAAACUGGGUCUAAUACCGGAUAGGACCAUGGUUUAGCAUCUCAUGGUGGAAAGAUUAUUGUUUUGGUGCAGGAUGAGCUCGCGGCCUAUCAGCUUGUUGGUGGGGUAAUGGCCUACCAAGGCGUCGACGGGUAGCCGGCCUGAGAGGGUGGACGGCCACAUUGGGACUGAGAUACGGCCCAGACUCCUACGGGAGGCAGCAGUGGGGAAUAUUGCACAAUGGGCGCAAGCCUGAUGCAGCGACGCCGCGUGGGGGAUGACGGCCUUCGGGUUGUAAACUCCUUUCGUUAGGGACGAAGCCACACUUUUUUUGGGUGUGGUGACGGUACCUUUGUUAAGAAGCACCGGCUAACUACGUGCCAGCAGCCGCGGUAAUACGUAGGGUGCGAGCGUUGUCCGGAAUUACUGGGCGUAAAGAGCUCGUAGGUGGUUUGUUGCGUCGUCUGUGAAAUUCCGGGGCUUAACUUCGGGGUGGCAGGCGAUACGGGCAUAACUAGAGUGCUGUAGGGGAGACUGGAAUUCCUGGUGUAGCGGUGGAAUGCGCAGAUAUCAGGAGGAACACCGAUGGCGAAGGCAGGUCUCUGGGCAGUAACUGACGCUGAGGAGCGAAAGCAUGGGGAGCGAACAGGAUUAGAUACCCUGGUAGUCCAUGCUGUAAACGGUGGGCGUUAGGUGUGGGGACCGGUUUGGUUUCUGUGCCGUAGCUAACGCAUUAAGCGCCCCGCCUGGGGAGUACGGCCGCAAGGCUAAAACUCAAAGGAAUUGACGGGGGCCCGCACAAGCGGCGGAGCAUGCGGAUUAAUUCGAUGCAACGCGAAGAACCUUA